rnacentral:lncRNA from 1 species
AAAGAAUAUGCUUAGAUCCAUCAAGUAUUUUUUUAUUAGACUUAGCUGUAUUCCUUCUAUGAUGGCAAGAAGCACAUGAAUGAAGCUUGUUCAUGAACUAGGCUAACCACAGGUAGUUUCGUUGUGUUGCCAAUUUAUCUCAUAGCUUUCAACUCACAGGCAAGCCUUUCCACCCGGCUCCUCCUCCUGUUCAGUGCAGUGCCCUGUUUUUGAGUUUGCAGUUCGUUAUUUUAUAUCAAGGAGAAUCUCUGAUCUUUUUUCCCCUUCCAUUCUGAAAUGAUGUUCAUCGGGUUUUUUAGUUUUCCCCAAAGCACCUUCGUUCUUGACGUUAAGUGCAAUCUCUCUCUAACCCUAAAGCUGGUGAGGAUAGCACAGUUGUGCUCACUGCAGUCAGGUACUAAGGAGAUGGUGGGUUUGCAACCACACAGACAGGUCAGUAGAUAUGAUGUAUCUUGCUGGGCAGGAGUCUUUCCUUCACUUGACCUUCAGAACCUUCCUAGAAU